GAUGAACGCUGGCGGCGUGCUUAACACAUGCAAGUCGAACGGGAAAUAUUUCAUUGAGACUUCGGUGGAUUUGAUCUAUUUCUAGUGGCGGACGGGUGAGUAACGCGUGGGUAACCUGCCUUAUACAGGGGGAUAACAGUCAGAAAUGGCUGCUAAUACCGCAUAAGCGCACAGAGCUGCAUGGCUCAGUGUGAAAAACUCCGGUGGUAUAAGAUGGACCCGCGUUGGAUUAGCUUGUUGGUGGGGUAACGGCCCACCAAGGCGACGAUCCAUAGCCGGCCUGAGAGGGUGAACGGCCACAUUGGGACUGAGACACGGCCCAGACUCCUACGGGAGGCAGCAGUGGGGAAUAUUGCACAAUGGGGGAAACCCUGAUGCAGCGACGCCGCGUGAAGGAAGAAGUAUCUCGGUAUGUAAACUUCUAUCAGCAGGGAAG
rnacentral:rRNA from 1 species